GACGUAGGGCGCGAGCGUUGUCCGGAUUUAUUGGGCGUAAAGAGCUCGUAGGCGGCUCGUUGCGUCCAUCGUGAAAACUCAGGGCUUAACUCUGAGCUUGCGGUGGAUACGGGCGGGCUAGAGUUCGGUAGGGGAGUCUGGAAUUCCUGGUGUAGCGGUGAAAUGCGCAGAUAUCAGGAGGAACACCGAUGGCGAAGGCAGUUCUCUGGGCCGUAACUGACGCUGAGGAGCGAAAGCGUGGGGAGCGAACAGG
rnacentral:rRNA from 1 species